CCUACGGGAGGCAGCAGUGAGGAAUAUUGGUCAAUGGACGAGAGUCUGAACCAGCCAAGUAGCGUGAAGGAUGACUGCCCUAUGGGUUGUAAACUUCUUUUAUAAAGGAAUAAAACGAGGCACGUGUGCCUUUUUGCAUGUACUUUAUGAAUAAGGAUCGGCUAACUCCGUGCCAGCAGCCGCGGUAAUACGGAGGAUCCGAGCGUUAUCCGGAUUUAUUGGGUUUAAAGGGGGCGUAGACGGGUUGUUAAGUUAGAUGUGAAAUUUCGCGGCUCAACCCUAGAAUUGCCUGUGAUACUGGCGGUCUAGAGUACAGUUGAGGUAAGCGGAAUUCGUGGUGUAGCGGUGAAAUGCUUAGAUAUCACGCAGAACCCCGAUUGCGAAGGCAGCUUACUAAACUGUAACUGACAUUGAUGCUCGAAAGUGUGGGGAUCAAACAGGAUUAGAUACCCGAGUAGUC
rnacentral:rRNA from 1 species